AGUCAGAACACUAAGUCACAUCUGUGUAUAACUUAACCGUUUACGAUGUGUUGUUCUGCACCUUGUCUCAUUUGUCCUUCACCAUCACACUGGGAGUGAGGAAGGAUCAUCACAUGCCCAUUUUAUGGAGAACAAGACUGAGAGUUGAAGAGACUUCCACAGGAGUAAGGCGGUAUCACAUUGCGGUUUUGAUUUGCAUCAGUG
rnacentral:lncRNA from 1 species